rnacentral:ribozyme from 1 species
CUUAGAAUACUCUUCAAUGGGAUGGGAUCCGAAGCCCCUAGAGUGUUAAUACAGACUCUCCCAUCCAACUCCUAUUCCGACAAGUCCUCGUCGUGCAGAGUGUUAGCAUGUUCCACCACAUAUCCAAGCUUGGGUACACGGGCUUGACCCAACCCCUUGGGCGGUUGGUGGCACAUGGCGAACCAGGAGGGG